rnacentral:misc_RNA from 1 species
GAUGAAGAACGUAGCGAAAUGCGAUAAGUAAUGUGAAUUGCAGAAUUCAGUGAAUCAUCGAAUCUUUGAACGCACAUUGCGCCCGCCAGUAUUCUGGCGGGCAUGCCUGUGCGAGCGUCAUUUCAACCAUCAAGCCCCCGGGCUUGUGUUGGGGACCUGCGGCUGCCCGCAGGCCCUGAAAACCAGUGGCGGGCUCGCUGUCACACCGAGCGUAGUAGCAAUCACCUCGCUCAGGGCGUGCUGCGGGUUCCGGCCGUUAAACAGCCUUACAAAACCCAAGGUUGACCUCGGAUCAGGUAGGAAGACCCGCUGAACUUAAGCAUAUCAAUAAGCGGAGGA